rnacentral:tRNA from 1 species
AGCCCUGGAACACCUUUAGGGGUUCGU